ensembl:lncRNA
UGAAUCUUCCAGUGAGCGCCAUUGGGGCCAUUAUCUGCAAGUGGAAGCAACAUCACUCCGUCAUCAACCGGCCACGCACAGGAGCUCCUCGCAAGAUUUCUGACCAGGGAGUCAGAAGAAUAAUCAGAACAGUAGCCCAAGAGCCAAGGAGCACUCGGAAAGAGCUCCAGAAACACCUGGAGGCAGCAGUUGCUGAUGGGCACAUCGUAAUUAUUGACCCUUCUUCAGCAGCACACCCUGCCACAGUCGACGAAGAUGAAGAGACCACCUCUGCUGUGAAAGAGGAAUUGUCUUAGACAUGGACACCAGCUGGCUACUAUACAGAAUUCUCCAGAGACAGCGGCCCACACAGUGGAACCAAAGAAGACGUGGCUCAAGCAAGCUGAAAAACGAC